rnacentral:rRNA from 1 species
UACGUAGGGGGCAAGCGUUGUCCGGAUUUAUUGGGCGUAAAGAGCGUGUAGGCGGCCAAACAGGUCAGCUGUGAAACUCGAGGCUCAACCUCGAGACGUCGGUUGAAACCGUUUGGCUAGAGUCCGGAAGAGGAGAGUGGAAUUCCCGGUGUAGCGGUGAAAUGCGCAGAUAUCGGGAAGAACACCCGUGGCGAAGGCGGCUCUCUGGACGGUACUGACGCUGAGACGCGAAAGCGUGGGAGCGAACGAGG